ACGAAGGGAGCUAGCGUUGUUCGGAAUCACUGGGCGUAAAGCGCACGUAGGCGGAUGUGUCAGUCAGGGGUGAAAUCCCGGAGCUCAACUUCGGAACUGCCUCUGAUACAGCACGUCUUGAGUCCGGAAGAGGUGGGUGGAAUUCCUAGUGUAGAGGUGAAAUUCGUAGAUAUUCGGAAGAACACCAGUGGCGAAGGCGACUUACUGGACGAUUGUUGACGCUGAGGUGCGAAAGCGUGGGGAGCAAACAGGA
rnacentral:rRNA from 1 species